UUUACACCAUAAGGAUGAUUCUCACCUGAUAUUUUACCGUGAUCACAACUUAUUAUCUUAGAUCAUAGUUAGGUGUAACUGUUCUUAUUGCAGGAGUCGGCGACCACGAAAGUGACAAACCGGCUCCAGCUGUUGAGGUCUCUCAGGAGUAAAGAUCAUAACACAUACCCAUAUGGAUUGUUUUUAGAUUAUUGCAUUCAGAAGGUCUAUGUACA
rnacentral:lncRNA from 1 species